AAGGAAUAUUGGUCAAUGGACGCAAGUCUGAACCAGCCAUGCCGCGUGAAGGAUGAAGGUCCUCUGGAUUGUAAACUUCUUUUAUCUGGGACGAAAACGGGAUCUUUAUCUCAAUUGACGGUACCAGAGGAAUAAGCACCGGCUAACUUCGUGCCAGCAGCCGCGGUAAUACGAAGGGUGCAAGCGUUAUCCGGAUUCAUUGGGUUUAAAGGGUGCGUAGGCGGAACAAUAAGUCAGCGGUGAAAGCCCGUAGCUUAACUACGGAAGUGCCGUUGAUACUGUUGUUCUUGAGUACGCUUGACGUGGGCGGAAUGUGCCGUGUAGCGGUGAAAUGCUUAGAUAUGGCACAGAACACCGAUAGUGAAGACAGCUCACGAAGGCGAAACUGACGCUGAGGCACGAAAGCGUGGGGAUCAAACA
rnacentral:rRNA from 1 species